AGUGAACGCUGGCGGUAGGCCUAACACAUGCAAGUCGAACGGCAGGACAGUAAGAGCUUGCUCUUACGGGUGACGAGUGGCGGACGGGUGAGGAAUACAUCGGAAUCUACUUUUUCGUGGGGGAUAACGUAGGGAAACUUACGCUCAUACCGCAUACGACCUACGGGUGAAAGCAGGGGAUCUUCGGACCUUGCGCGAUUGAAUGAGCCGAUGUCGGAUUAGCUAGUUGGCGGGGUAAAGGCCCACCAAGGCGACGAUCCGUAGCUGGUCUGAGAGGAUGAUCAGCCACACUGGAACUUAGACACGGUCCAGACUCCUACGGGACGCAGCAGUGGGGAAUAUUGGACAAUGGGCGCAAGCCUGAUCCAGCCAUACCGCGUGGGUGAAGAAGGCCUUCGGGUUGUAAAGCCCUUUUGUUGGGAAAGAAAAGCAGCAGGUUAAUACCCCGCUGUUCUGACGGUACCCAAAGAAUAAGCACCGGCUAACUUCGUG
rnacentral:rRNA from 1 species